rnacentral:rRNA from 14 species
AGACUGCCGGUGACAAACCGGAGGAAGGUGGGGACGACGUCAAGUCAUCAUGGCCCUUACGAGUAGGGCUACACACGUGCUACAAUGGCAUCUACAGUGAGUUAAUCUCCAAAAGAUGUCUCAGUUCGGAUUGGGGUCUGCAACUCGACCCCAUGAAGUCGGAAUCGCUAGUAAUCGCAGGUCAGCAUACUGCGGUGAAUACGUUCCCGGGCCUUGUACACACCGCCCGUCACACCAUGGGAGUUGGUUCUACCCGACGACGCUGCGCUAACCCUUCGGGGAGGCAGGCGGCCACGGUAGGAUCAGCGACUGGGGUGAAGUCGGAACAAGGUAGCCGUAGGGGAACCUGCGGCUGGAUCACCUCCUU